GGUUCUUUUUCGCGUUUUAAUUAAUUUCUCAUCAAGUUUACAAUAAUUAAGUGUUUAAUUGUGGUUAAUCGUCAAAAAUCGACUCCCUUUUGGUUACUCCUUCUGAUGAUGAAUCAAAAUUAAAGCAAUCAAAGAAAAGGAAGAAUUUGAGUGUUUCAACGUCCGAAUAUUCAAGCGGAUUGGAAUCGUUGAAAAAGAAAAGUAAAAUGAAUUAAAAUUAAAAAUAAAUUUAUUUGUUUCUUCUUCUUCCACCUGUUUCUUUGUGGUUAAUCGUUCGUUUAAACCCAGAUCCUAAUUAGCUUAAUUCUGUUAAUUACCAAAAGCCGCCUUAAGGAGGAAGAUCAUUAAGGGCCGCGGCAAUUAAACACUAAUUAUUACCGAAGAAGAAGUAAUAUCAAGGAGAAGAAAGAGGUGUUUUUGUAUUGUUACGCGAGUCGACAGUAAUUAAUUGCAUGGAAGGCAAUCGGGGUGCCGAAGCGGGGCCACGGCCCCCAAUGGGGGCCUAAUAGCCCACUGCUCCCGCUCGGCAGACCACAAAGGGGUUCCGCGACACUCCAAACAUCAUUAGUUAUGUAUUGUCUAAACUAAUCUGGCGGAACCGCGCCCACGAAAUAAAUUUUCUUUAUUUUCA